CCGGAAACCGACCGGCCGGACGGGCCCCGCCCGCCGUGACGUCAAUGCGCCUCGCUCUCGCCCGGGCCCGUCGCCGCGGGAAACAAGUAUUCCGUUGUACUUGAUGCAAUCCCUGCUGGAGUCCUGGAGCCAGGAGAGCCAGGAGGGGAACAGAACCAGCUCUCAGGAGAAGCCAGCCCAGGUGGACACACCUUCCCCCAGUGAGCUCUGGUGGAUCUCUCAAAUCACACUUCCAUAAUCCGAUGCUGCUGCAUCCCCACGUGUUAAUUCUCACACCGCCGAAGACGUAAGGGAAGUUAAAAGCAAACAAAGCCCCCGUUCCAUUCGGUCUGGUCUGAAUUACAGUCAGAUCCUGCUCUAAACCAUCUAAUUAAAUGUUCCUGAGUAACUAACUUGCCUUACCGUCAGCGCUAUUCCCACAACUUUCAUUUCAAACAACUUUAUGCAUCGGUUUCUCAUGGAGCAAUCUGCUGCCCAGGGCUGUGGCUGCUGGAGAGCAGAGGAGAGCUCAGGGGAAACAGAGUGUGAGCCAAGGUGGGAAAUAAGAGCACAGACGUCACCCACGCCUGCUGUGUGUGUGUGUGGAACAGAAAGAGCUGUUUGAAAGGUCAGUGACAGCCAAAUUAACAGUGCCUGUUAAUUUGCUGGGGUGCUGCACAGGAGCUGGAGUGCCAUGGGCUUCUGCUGAAGGUCCCACCCCACUUAGGACCCCAUGUUCUGUGAGGUGCAACACUCCAGGAGCAGCCUCUGGGGUUGAAACCAAAUAAAUCAAAUGAGUGGCAGGUUGAAGCAGCCAAUGGUUUUAUCACAGUUUUAGGUGUUAAAUCACGCAUGCCCAUCACCCUUGAGGAACAAAUGGGGUUUCAGAGGGGCAGAGCACAACCUGGAAUGCUCCUGAUCAGAGUGACUGGAGCAUGUGGGCUGUCUCGGGGUGGAGUGAAUGGGGAAGGAAGUUUUAGUGGUACAGAAAGGUUCCAUCCACAAACUGAAGCUGCCAUCAUCCCAAAGAGCCCUGAAAUCUACAUCAGAAAAUCAGUGGAAUUAAAACCUGUGAGCUCACUGUGGACCACGAGGUGCCAGUGGCAGAGCUCACACUGGAUCCUUUGGGCAUGGCUCCUUGUAUUUUGUUUAAGCUUUAACUAGCACUGAAAAUAACCCUCCCUUACUGCUGCACACCCUGGCUCACAGCACCACAGUGAUUCAUAGGAAGAUCCAUAGAUUAGAAACCAAAACACACAAAAAUAUAUUCUCUUGUAACAAUGGAUUUUUUGAGGAUGUCUCGGUUCCAGGUCAAACUCUGGGUCUUGACAGCUUUCAGUGUGACACUUCAGAGGACCUGCAUGCAGGGACAGGACGCUUGUCCCUCAGCAGUGCAGUGUUUGCCAGGGAGUCUGAGCCUCUGGAUGAGCUUUACAGUGUCAAGUCUGUCAUUUUUCCACAUGAAAGGUGAUAAAGAACCAGAGCAAGGAAUUGAUACGAUCCAAAAAGAGCCCAAAAGACAGUGCUUGAACUUCCUGCUCUAACCUCAGCAUGAGUCAGGGGCUCAGACCCCCUGUGGACCCUGAGAGGUGGCGUGUGGAGGCUUUGGUCUGGCUGACGUCAGCUGUGUGAAACAGUCCCCAGUGCAGAACCAGUUUGCUAUGGGCAGAUCCCAAACCAUUUCCAUAUGUUACUUUGAAGAAGAAAAUGACUGGUAAGACUCAAAACAGACGAAGCAAGUGCCAAGAGAAAAAUGCCCUGAAGUGGCCAGAUCUAAGAGAUAGACCAGUCGGGGAAUCCAUCUCCAUCUGCCAGACGUGCCUGCUGCAGCACAGCCCUUCAGAUUCCCAGCAUGGUUCCCAGCUGGAAAGCUCCCAACACCCAAGGGGCAGCACUGGGAACAUUUUCCCUCCUGAGUCAGUGCUGACGAGCUCAGUGUGAGGGAGGCUGUGAUUAUCAGAGCUAUGUCACACAGCUCUCCUGUGCUGGCUGAACCACAGGCUCCACAGCAUUUUGAAAAAGCCAGGAUACCCUGCUUAAAUUCUGAUAUUGAUUAUGGUGCCCUUCCUGCCACCCAGCUGGGUUGAACUUGAACUCAGAGUUCUCUUUUCUAGCCUGGUUCUGUCCUAGAUCAGUGAUGAACCUCCACCUCAGCAGCAGGGCAAGAAAUCUCUAAGCACCCUCCUGAGAGUAUUUAUUGGGAACUCUUUGCUCAGGUGUCUCUGCACUUCAAGGACUCUCCUCAGCUCCAGAGGAGGACAGGCACUAAUGCAGUGGGAAACAGUUCCAGGACAGGGUUAGGCUGCCCCACAAGAACUGGGAGACAGAAAACAGCACCUGAAGUGGGGCAAAAAACCCCUAGAAAGCUCAUGCCUCCAGAGAGAAGGAAGGAGAUGGGAGAGCAGCAGGUCUGUGCCUCCUGCAGUUUGGAUAUGAACAGGCUUUGUUCUGCAUCAUUAACUUUAUGCAACCUCUGGGCAGCCUCAGCAGUUCAUGAACUGCCCAAGCAUCUGCAAAUGUGAUUCUUGACUUUGAGAUCUGACACAAACCAAAUUAAAGAGCACUGAGAUAGUGUGCAGCUACUGCCGACUUCUUUUCCGGGAAUGCCUGUGAAAUACUCCCAGUGUUUCUUUUGUAACAGAAUGUAAAUACCCCCAUUGAAAAGAAUCCUCAGUUCUUGUGCUUUUAACACAGUCUGGUGAGAGCUCCCUCUCCAAGUAUCAUCUGGGACACAGUUCUCCUGCAAGAUAAAUGCACGAAUAAAAGCAUUCAAAACA